GGAGAGAUGGCUCAGUGGUUAAGAGCACUGACUGUGCUUCCAGAGGUCCUGAGUUCAAUUCUCAGCAACUACA
rfam:Rattus norvegicus chromosome 3, whole genome shotgun sequence.